AGUUAAAAUUUUCAUCAAUUUCUAUUGUUAAAGACUUGUGUGAUUAACAGAAUAAUCAGACACUUACAUAUUGCAUGCCACCUAUACUUCAAGUCAAAAAUUAAUUUUUAAUAGUAGAAAUAAAUGAAACUUUUAAUA
rfam:Gossypium hirsutum cultivar TM-1 chromosome 13, whole genome shotgun sequence